rnacentral:rRNA from 1 species
AGCGAACGCUGGCGGCAGGCUUAACACAUGCAAGUCGAGCGGGCAUAGCAAUAUGUCAGCGGCAGACGGGUGAGUAACGCGUGGGAACGUACCUUUUGGUUCGGAACAACGCAGGGAAACUUGUGCUAAUACCGGAUAAGCCCUUACGGGGAAAGAUUUAUCGCCGAAAGAUCGGCCCGCGUCUGAUUAGCUAGUUGGUGAGGUAAUGGCUCACCAAGGCGACGAUCAGUAGCUGGUCUGAGAGGAUGAUCAGCCACAUUGGGACUGAGACACGGCCCAAACUCCUACGGGAGGCAGCAGUGGGGAAUAUUGGACAAUGGGCGCAAGCCUGAUCCAGCCAUGCCGCGUGAGUGAUGAAGGCCCUAGGGUUGUAAAGCUCUUAUGUGCGGGAAGAUAAUGACGGUACCGCAAGAAUAAGCCCCGGCUAACUUCGUGCCAGCAGCCGCAGUAA